rnacentral:lncRNA from 1 species
AAGAAAAUAGAUAAAUGGGAACGUUACUCUCUCACUCUCAGACCACUAUUCACUCUCUCAAAAAAAAGACAAUCUCUCAAUUUCCUCUCAACUCUGAGCUCACACAAUCCCCUUCCUCUCUCGCCCCAAAUCUCUCACUCUCAAUUCUCAGCUGAAACUCUCACCGACAAACCCUCCUCUCUAAAAUCCGCCGCCACCACCUUCUACCACCACUAAACACUCACCAACCGUCAACCCUCCGAAUCCUUCAUCAUCUUCGUCAUCGCAACUCAACCGUUCACCGCCACCCAAAACCCCUACCGUCGCGGCGACUUCCACCUUCAAACCCUUAAACCACCUUCGAAACACCGUCAAAACCGCCGUCGCUCUCACCGGCAAACUCUCUCCAUCUACCUUCAAAUCGCGCCCUCACCGACAAACCCACACGAAACCUACUCAUCUCACAAUCUCCAAGCCGUCACCAUCCAUCAUCGCUUCCGUCCACAAUCGCGACCCAUCUUCACCGCUAAAACCUAAUCUCUAAAUCCGCCGUCAUCACCGUACCGAAGCCGUCGGUGACUUGUCAGUUCGCAACUAUCUUCGACCUUCAUCAACAGUUUGGGAUUGUGUUGUGUAAUUUUUCUGUUUUUUCAGGGAAAGUCUGAAGCUUUAGAGCCAUGGGUCCAGCACCGGUGACGAUUACAACUAGCCUCUGUUGAUAGCUUCAAAAGGAUUUUCUUAUGAUUCUGGAAACGGUUUCAAGUCGCGCUGAUUCCUCUUCUUCCGCAACAACCACAAAGACCGUUAUUACUCUACCACUCUCAGCACGGCGUCGAAACCGCUUCUUGUCCACAUUAAAGCAAGCCGGGCAGAUUGUUGAAACACCAUGGAUACGGGGAUUGGGUGGAAGAUCUCAGGCUGUUGCUGAUGAUGUACUCCUGAAAUAAGCUCUUGACAACUAUCCGUCUGUACGGUAACAGAUCGAUUUAAGCUUAUUUUAGAAUUAUGAUUGUUUCAUGACAGUAUUUGAUAUCUCUGGAUAAUGUGUGUGUUUGUGAUUUUUAUCUUCCGAUUCGUUCUGGUGGUAGAUGGUAUCAACAUAUUUUAUGCUGAAAAUUUCGUUGAGGAUUGUAAAUUUUUUCUCUGAAUAUUGUUACUCUGUGUCGUUACUGUUUCGUUUUGUGUUGAUACUACAAUAGCCCUGUAUAUAAUCACAAUUUGCGGUGACAUACUUUGAUACCAUUUUUAUUGUACAUAUUCAACUCUUGAUUAUGACUUGUUUUAGCUAUAUCAAAAGGAUUUGUUUUGUAUUGCCUGUGAAGUUUAUAGUUGCUUGUAGUAUCUCGUUCAUUUUUCAUUUGAAUUGAGAUUUGGAUUAUGAAUACCAACGUGCUUGCUUAUACACAACUUAUGCGACUUUCAGUUUGGAUUAUAUUUGGGAAGAUAUUUUAAGUGGGAACUGUAUUAAAAUUCUGCUCUUGAAUUAUUAGAUUAGUUUGUGGAUGGAUCACUAUUGUUGGUGCAAAUGAGUUAUUAGCCCACGGCAUUAUCAGAAUUCUAAUAAUCUCAUGAUUGGUUUACAACGAUUUUCUCAAAUGCAUGUUGUUUUUAUUGCUGAAAUUUAAAUUGGAUUAUCAAUUGCCUAAUGGACUUUAUAGUGUAUAUAUAAGUCUACUUUAAUCAUAAGGCAUNAGUUCCUUCCUUGAAAACACAAACUUUAGAACCUACCCUUGGGAAUUUCUAGUAAUCAGAAAAACCCGUAUUUCUUCCUGUUAUCCUGACGUACCCGACGUGUGAAUAAUCUUAAGUCUGUAUUCCUUUGCAAAAAACAUGGCAAAAUUUCAUGCAUUUGCAUAUCAUCAACAUGCAUUGCAUAUCAUCUCCCAGAAACAAAAUCUCACACCAUGUUCUGCCCUUUGUCCAGUAAACGCUGACUACUCGACACCGGUACGAGACACGCCGCAAUUACAAGAUGACACUUGAACAGCUUGAAGCUAACCAAGUUUCGAUGAGGACCGACAUUGACUCCAUGCAGGCAAAGAUGGAUCGCUUGCUUGAGACCAUGUUACUCUUGGCUCAGAAGGAGAAGGAUGCUGAGACUAACGCCGAAGCCAGGAAAAUUGCUGCCCAAUUUGGAUCACCAUCGCUCAGUAUCCCUGGAGUGAUUGACCUUGAUGGUAACCCUAAUCAGCCUAGAGAAGGACCGAUCCCUAUUCCGAUCCCAAUGGACAAUAUAAAACCCCACGAGCAUUCUACUGUAUCUGCUCGACACGGAUCUGUGAUAUGUGAUGAAGAUCCAUAUGACGCUUUCUUCAUGCCACAGCCCGUCCAGCCUGCUGUUGGAGGUCUCCCAGACCCAGCUGUUGACAGACUCCAUGCGUUGGAGGAAAAGUUUAAGUCCUUGGAGGUUCACACUACUCCCGGUUUGGACGCCGUCGAUAUGUGCUUGGUGCCAGGCCUUGUGAUUCCACAGAAGUUCAAAGUCCCGGACUUUGACAAGUACAAAGGGAUCAGCUGCCCAAGAACACACCUCAGAGCUUACUGCCGCAAAAUGGCCGCCCACAUCAGUAAUGAUCAACUCCUGAUUCAUUACUUCCAAGAUAGUCUCAGUGGGGCAUCUUUGGAGUGGUACAUGCAACUGGAGAGAGGACAGGUCCAAUCAUGGAGAGACCUUGCUGAAGCAUUCCUCAGGCAUUAUCAGUACAACACUGAUCUAGCACCCAAUCGCACCCAACUGCAAGACAUGACUCAACGCAACAAUGAGUCAUUCAAAGAAUACGCCCAGCGGUGGAGAGAGCUAGCAGCUCGUGUUCAACCUCCUCUCUUUGACAAAGAGCUAAUUGACAUGUUUAUGGGAACCCUACACACCCAGUACAUGGAGAAGAUGGUAGGAUCCAGUUUCCCAACUUUUGCUGAGGUCGUCUCCGUGGGAGAACGAAUCGAGAGCCAGAUCAAGAAGGGGAAACUACCUUGCGCUGCUAAUGCUUCAAGUGGGAUGAAGAAACCUUAUCCUAAUCUCCCAAAGAAGCCAGAAGGUCAAACCAAUUCCAUAAUGGGAGGAGGAGGAUAUAGGGCACGCCCGUAUGCUCCUAUGCCUUAUAAUCAGGUUGCCGCUGUCGUCCCGACACCAUAUCAGCCUCCAUAUCAGCAACCCCAUCAACAACAAUAUCAACAGCCUUAUCAACAAACAGCUUAUCAGCAUCAGAAUCAACAUCGACGUGCUCCACAACCACGUCCCCCCAAUCAGCAGAGGGCAAGGAGGCCAGAAAGGCAUUUCGAUCCUUUGCCAGUAUCAUAUAGCAAGAUCCUCCCCUACCUGCUAAAGGAUGGAUCGGUCGUUCUGAAGGAGAUAACACCUGUAACUCCACCAUAUCCUCCAGGCUACGACGCCAAUGCUCACUGUGAGUAUCACAUGGGUGCUCCAGGGCACACAAUAGAGAACUGUAAGGCUUUCAAGCACAAGGUUCAAGAUUUGGUUGACAGUAAAGCACUUACAUUCACGCCAGUGAGGCCAAACGUUGCAACAAACCCCAUGCCGGCGCAUGCAGAAUCAAGUGAAGCUCGAAGGUAAAGCUUCCCACCGGCCUAAACAAGCAGAGCAAUUCCGCUGAAGAACCCAGAGAUGAAGGCUUGUUCAUUUGAAUGAAGGCAAUCCUGAUGCCAUUUUUACCAUUUUGCAUUCUUGUAAUUUGAUCUUGUUUGUCUAAGUACUGUACGCUUUAAACAUUGUUAUUUGUAUUUGGUUUUGUUAAUGGGAUGGUUAUGCAUGCUUUGAAUCAAUCUUUCNGGAUGAAACCCUGCUGAUGAUGUACAGGCAUUGUUUCAAAUCCCCAAACACUGGAGAGAUAAGGAGUUAAUCCCUAGUCAACCACUUCGAGCCUAGAAGUAGGAGUUUCUUUCAGAUCUAAAAAACCUUUACGCUUAACCUGGGGCAGGGUAGUGUUCAGUUAACCUGACUACACAUACAAAUUACAAAGGUGAAGUAUCCCAUACGAGGAUCAACCAUAUGACACUCUUCACACACAUCAUGAAGUGUCGAAGGAACCAUACAAAUCCAGAAUCUAUGUCGGUUGUUCUUCAAUGACCAAUGUCCUGGCAGUCACAAUUAAAAAAAAGGUCGAAGAAAGAGCCCGCUAAGUCGAACACCCUAAAAGGAGACUUAGGCAAAAAACAGGGGCAAUCCCGAUGGAUUAAAGCUUCAAACAAAGCGGUCCAUGCAAAAGUUAGGGAUCAAAACAAAAAAUCGAAAGAGACAAUGAAAGUCCUCAACAAAAGCAAAACAAGAUUCAGUGACCACCAUACCAAAAUCAAAGGGUCGCCGACAUCCAAAAAAACGAAAUAAGGUGGCUGCCAUUCCAAGGGACUUUGAACCACCAUCUUUAUCCUUACACAUGCAAGAGAAGAAUGUGUGUGAAUUAACUGAACAUAGGAUUGGAGAUCAUCAUGAAGAAGGGGUGGGUUAAAAUAAACUUUGAGCCUUAUAUCCUUUUGUUUCAAAACCAUCGACCAACACAGCAACGCCUCAAAAGACCAAGUUGAGUAGUGGUUUAUUCUGAAAGCAUACAUACAAGUUAGUAACUGACUCCUAAAUAUUUUCCAAUAUUCUCCUCUCACUAUAUCACUCACACACUAGCUAAAUCAAGCACCGCGUUUGGACACAUGAUCCACUCGCCACACACUACCACAACACUUCCCAAAUGAAUGAUUAUUUUUCAAAACUUGCAUAACUGUUGCAUUAACAUCACCAUUUCGUAGAUAACAAUUCUUAAUUGUCAGUCAGUGCUUGACAUCGGAAAAUUCCAACAAGGAGUAAUUCAACGGGCACUUGAUUGUUGGUGCUGACACGAAUCCAGACCAUCCUGUGAAUCAGGGGCAUGGCAUCUUUUGAUCAUAUUGACCUAAGAAGUAGUCUGUGUAAGACAAAUCUCCAAGCAUCGGUUGAUCAGGGAGAAAAACACUUCAGUACUCGGCCCGUCUGAAGCAGGUCCCUCAAAGGCUAAUCAGGGGCAGACCAUAGCCAGAUUUGGACAUCAGGAAACAAACUCAGACCAUGUCAUGGGAUAAUCACUCCUAAGGUUUCUUGCAGGGAGAAUUCCUUUGAACACCCUACAAACAGGGGCAAGACAAGUUGCAAGGGGCAAAAUUCCCUUCAUAUCUUCAAGACAGUCAGGCAGAUUGCGUCAAACAUUAGUGACUGCUUGAAUUCACAACCAAAAUGUCAAAAGUUCGUACCAGUACAACAUCAUGCCUUGACAAGAAUCCUUGAGGCACGUCAAAAGCACAAUCAUCAUGCGCUGAUCACGUCGCUAUGCUCAGUUACAAGCUGGCCAAACACUUCAGAAGAAGAAACCAAGAUCUUCUCAAAGACAAAUACUCAACAUAUCAGCAAGAGAUCAAACCUGGGGCACCAAGAGUAUCCACAUCCAUUUCGUGUUCAUCAUAUCAUCAACUACUGAGUGUCGGGAAUGUCAGAUCCUUUCACCAAUCAAUAGCAUAUCCACAUUGACAAUUACCAAAAAAACCUAAAGCCCACAUUGUUGGCACCCACAUAAAACCAAAUAUAACCAACUUUGGUUUCCAGAAGAUGCAUUGCCUUUGAAAGGGGGGCCAAUCCCAAACAAACCAAUCAUUCUUUGCAUACAAACAUGCAUUUCAUGCAUCAUAUGCAUCACCUCAUACAUAAUACAUACAUAUCAUUCAUGUACAUAACACAAAUCAAGAUCCAAGGUUUAGUCGUAGGCAUACAGGCCAACCCUCAGUUGAGUCGUUAUUUUUCUCUGAGUGAGUUCCUACCCUACUAUCGGGCGUUCCCCAUUGAGUUACAUCCUUCAACCUUUUGUUGAUAAGAUGUUAUCCUCAGCUUAGUCAAACAAUGUUUCUUUAAACACCUAUUUUUUUUUUCACGUUGAGCGUCCCUCAAUGAGUCGUUUCCCAUAACCUUUUGUUGACAGAAAUUACAUCUCCCCAGAGAACAUUGGCUCUGCAACCUUUUGUUGUUGAUACCCCCAAGCAAGUCUUACCCAAUAAUGUCCCAAUACUACCCAACAAAUCGGGUUUACUGGACUUUGACAGUAGCCUUAUUUUUCCAAUAUUUUUCUCACUACCAUCCUUUUGGUGAAAGUCCAUGGAGGAAUAAUACCAGUCAUCACCUUGUUUAUGAUCACCGUUAUCCUUUUGGUAAUGGUAAAUUCUUGACAUUUGUGAUCUUACUGUCAUCCUUUUGGUGUCGAAGAUCAUUGAAGUUUUAAGCUAACCUUCAUCCUUUUGAAUCACCUUGUUUAUGAUCACCGUUAUCCUUUUGGUAAUGGUAAAUUCUUGACAUUUGUGAUCUUACUGUCAUCCUUUUGGUGUCGAAGAUCAUUGAAGUUUUAAGCUAACCUUCAUCCUUUUGGUGAUGGUGACCUCUGCAAUUAUUACACCCCACUGUCAUCCUUUUGGUGUCAGUAAUAUUUGAAGUCAUUAUAACUUAUUAUCAUCCUUUUGGUGGUAACGAGUUUCGAAGUUAUGAUUCCACCUUCAUCCUUUUGGUGAUGGUGAUUGUUGAUUCAUUAUCAUCCUUUUGGUGAUAACGAGUUCUGUUGUUUGUAGCGCCUUCAUCCUUUUGGUGAUGGUGACUAUUGACUUAUUAUCAUCCUUUUGGUGGUAACAAGUUUUGUCGUUUUAACAAUACCUUCAUCCUUUUGGUGAUGGUGAGUGUUGACUUCUUAUCAUCCUUUUGGUGAUAACAAGUUUGUGUCUUGAUCUUACCUUCAUCCUUUUGGUGAUGGCGAUCAUUUGUGUUGUCAGCUUAUUAUCAUCCUUUUGGUGGUAACUAAGUUUUGUCGUUUGACAAAUACCUUCAUCCUUUUGGUGAUGGUGAUUGUUGACUUCUUAUCAUCCUUUUGGUGAUAACAAGUUUGUGUUUUGAUCUUACCUUCAUCCUUUUGGUGAUGGUGAUCAUUUGCGUGUGUGCUUCUUAUCAUCCUUUUGGUGGUAACAAGUUUUAUCUUUUGAUUAUACCUUCAUCCUUUUGGUGAUGGUGGUUAUCAUCCUUUUGGUGAUAACAAGUUUGUGUCUUGAUCCUACCUUCAUCCUUUUGGUGAUGGUGAUCAAUUGUGUUGUGUUCUUAUUAUCAUCCUUUUGGUGAUAACAAGUUUGUGUCCUGAUUAUACCUUCAUCCUUUUGGUGAUGGUGAUUAUUGAAGUUAUCUGACUUAUUAUCAUCCUUUUGGUGAUAACAAGCUUUGUUGUUGGAUCUUACCUUCAUCCUUUUGGUGACGGUGAUCUUUGAAGUUUAUGAGUUAACUAUCAUCCUUUUGGUGAUAGCCUUGAUCCUAUACUCUCAGUAAUGGAAAAAUUUACCAGAAUGACCAUCAUCCUUUUGGUGAUAGAAAUCUGUGAAUUGUGUCUAACUUUCAUCCUUUAGGUGAUAGCGAGAUUUGUUGUUGAUCUGACCAUCAUCCUUUUGGUGAUGGCGAUCUUUGUUGCACCCACUGUAACCAUUAUCCUUUUGGUGAUGACUACCUUAAAAGCUCAGCUUAUCCAUCAUCCUUUUGGUGAUGACAAUCCUCAAAAUCAUGGUGAAUCUCUGUCAUCCUUUUGGUGUCAGAAAACCAGUCCCACCUUUGUCUUCACAUCAGAAAUAACCUGUGCCAGAUUUGAAUGUUGACUCGAGGGUUGGCAUUGAUCGAACAUCCUACCCCCAUUACCUUGGCAUCCAUUGCAUUUUCAUCUGCAUCUCUCCAUUGCAUUUCAAAGGACAAAAUUUGGAUCCUUUAGUAUUUAAUUACCUUCCACCACGAAUGUAUGAUGACCUUUAUCAUUCUUACUUUCUAGUUCAAGAUAAUUAAAUAGGGGCAGCUGUCGUACCCCAAUUUUGUCCGGGCAUUUUUAAUUUUUUCAAAAUUAAUUUCAGUUUCAUUUUUGCAUCAUACGCAUAGCAUGACAUACAUUUGCAUCAUGAAUAAACACCUAAAAUGUCAGUCAGAAGGAAUUUAUUUGAGAAUACAGAAAAAAUCGGUUGAAUCGUUAAAAUUUGAGAAAAGACUGUAUUUUUAAUAAGUAGGUUUUGUGCUGACAAUUUUAAUGUGACUGGUUUAUUUAUUAUUAUUAUUUUUUUUAUUUUUUUAUUUUCUUUCUUUUUUCGAAUUAAAUUUGUACUCGAUUUUUUUUAAUUGGUCAAAUAUUAGUUAGAGUUUUUUUUUAAAUAUUAUUUAAUUAAAUAUUAGUUAAUGUUUUUUAUAUUAAUUAGUUUUUUUAUAUUAGUUAGAUUUUUUCUAAAAUAGUAGUUAAUUUUAGUUUUUAAAUAUUAAUUAGUUUGUUUAGUUAGAUUUUGUAAAAUAUUAGUUAGAGUAUUUUUUUUUUAAUAUUAAUUAGUUUUUCUAAAUAUUAGUUAGUUUUUAAAUAUUAGUUAGAUUUUUCUUUUUAAUAUUAAUUAGUUUUUUUUAGUGUUAAUUAGUUUAAGAGUUAGUUAGCUUUUUUAUUAGUUAAUUUUUAAAUAGUAGUUAGUUAGAGUUUUUAAAAUAUUAAUUAGUUUUUUUAUUUUUUAUGAAUAUAUGUAUUUUACAUUGGAUUCCAAUCCAUAAAAAAACAAAAAAAACAAAAUCUCCCAACGUCUCUCUCCAUCCACUCCCAACAGACCCUGCUCCACUACCUCUCCUCUCUCUCGUACCAGAAAAGACAAAAAAAGAAAAUAGAUAAAUGGGAACGUUACUCUCUCACUCUCAGACCACUAUUCACUCUCUCAAAAAAAAGACAAUCUCUCAAUUUCCUCUCAACUCUGAGCUCACACAAUCCCCUUCCUCUCUCGCCCCAAAUCUCUCACUCUCAAUUCUCAGCUGAAACUCUCACCGACAAACCCUCCUCUCUAAAAUCCGCCGCCACCACCUUCUACCACCACUAAACACUCACCAACCGUCAACCCUCCGAAUCCUUCAUCAUCUUCGUCAUCGCAACUCAACCGUUCACCGCCACCCAAAACCCCUACCGUCGCGGCGACUUCCACCUUCAAACCCUUAAACCACCUUCGAAACACCGUCAAAACCGCCGUCGCUCUCACCGGCAAACUCUCUCCAUCUACCUUCAAAUCGCGCCCUCACCGACAAACCCACACGAAACCUACUCAUCUCACAAUCUCCAAGCCGUCACCAUCCAUCAUCGCUUCCGUCCACAAUCGCGACCCAUCUUCACCGCUAAAACCUAAUCUCUAAAUCCGCCGUCAUCACCGUACCGAAGCCGUCGGUGACUUGUCAGUUCGCAACUAUCUUCGACCUUCAUCAACAGUUUGGGAUUGUGUUGUGUAAUUUUUCUGUUUUUUCAGGGAAAGUCUGAAGCUUUAGAGCCAUGGGUCCAGCACCGGUGACGAUUACAACUAGCCUCUGUUGAUAGCUUCAAAAGGAUUUUCUU